UACGGGGGGGGCAAGCGUUGUUCGGAAUUACUGGGCGUAAAGGGUGCGUAGGCGGCGCGGUAAGUCGGAUGUGAAAUCUCGGAGCUUAACUUCGAAACUGCAUUCGAUACUGCCGUGCUUGAGGACUGGAGAGGAGACUGGAAUUUACGGUGUAAGCGGUGAAAUGCGUAGAUAUUGGGAAGAACACCGAUGGCGAAGGCAGCCAUCUGGACCGACACUGACGCUGAGGCGCGAAAGCGUGGGGAGCAAACAGG
rnacentral:rRNA from 1 species